CCACUAUAUGCAAUUUCUCAAUGCCAAUGGGCUAGCUCAAGGGGAAGAGAUUGGGGAUAGUAAGGAAUCCCUUCUAUAUGUUUGAGAAUGGCUGUGUCCUGACUAAAGUUUUUGAGCAUCAUUUCCACACACUAAGGUACUAAAACCUGCUUUCUAAGUACAGUGCUUAAUGGCCUAAUGACUCUAGAUUAAGGAGCUGGCCCUAAUUUAACCUAUUGUUAUUACAUCAUGCUACAGGGCAAGGAGGUGCUAUUUUGGUAGACCACCUGGAAAUAGCCAACAUUGAUGUUAUAUUUGGCUCCUCCAGAGAAGAAGCAACAUUAGAGGCGGAGUUCAAAAUAUCCUUGAAUGCUUACCUGAAAGAGCUGGUAGCAUCCCCAGUAAGAACUUUGGCUGAUGUGAUCGCCUUCAACAACAAAUUCUCACAUUUGGUAAAUACAAUCAGAAGGGGUUUUCAUAAUUUAUUUGAUGUUCUAGAUUCAAAUAAAGAUUGUCAAAAUCACAUUCUGGAAAGAUGACCAAUUUUCUUGGGCAACUUCAGGAGAAAAUCAAAGAAUAUGGACAAGACAGCUUUCUGCGAGCCGAAGCCACAAAAGGAAUAAGCAAGAAAACUUUGUUAAAAUUAGCAAGAUUGUCAAGAAAUGGAUUCAAGAAGUUGAUGAAUGAGCAUAAGCUGGAUGCAUUGGUGACUCCUGGUGCAGAUGUUUUGGAGGAUUCCCCGGAAUUACUGUUCCAGCUGGAUAUGAUAGCGAAGGAGUGCCAUUUGGCAUUUGUUUAAUUUGGGGGCCUAAAGGGCUCUGAGCCAAAGCUGAUCGAGAUUGCAUAUAGCUUCGAGCAAGCAACUAAGAUUAGGAAGCCGCCUUCAUUUAAACCUUGAAGGGCUCCUUGCAGAGUUCUACUCCAUGUAUCAGGAUCAAGAACUCUUCUCUCUAGCUGGCGAUCGUGCACUAGCAAGGAUGUUAGUAUAAACUUUUUAAGGUUUUGAAUAAACUAAGAUGAUAUGGAGGCUGGUUUCCUGGAAAUCAUCUAAAUUAUGAAGUUCCCCUCUACCAUUUACUGGUGUGUUUGGUACCAUUAGAGUGCACUGCCCUCUGGCUAACCACUCAUUUGUCUGCACUGAAUCAUGCAGAGUUCAUACAUGUAUCCUAUGAUCAAUGUAUAGAAACAUGAGCAACAAGGACACGAUCAAAAUGGAAAAACACGUAUAUCACACAAGUUUGUUUUUUCACAUAUCCUAGAUUUCAAUUUCAUCUUUCAAACAAAAUCUUUCCAAUAUUCUACACAAAUAUUUCUCUUUCAUUCAUAUAAAUGAUAUAAUCAACAAAUAACUACUAAAUUUUUUUCUAGCAUUAUUUCCACUAAUAAUCAACAACAAAAUUCACAUAAUCACCCAUAAGUUAAAACAUAAAACAUAAGUAGAUGCAAAAUAUCAUGGAAAUAAGUGGGUAUUGCUUACAAAAGUAAUACUCGCUGAUUUUUGGAACAAACCACCCUCCUAAAAUCCAAAAAUUCACCCAUUAAAUUCAAAAUCCGACUCCAUAGCUAUGUUUACCUCGACAAAGUAAGCACGAAAAUAUGAGAAAUGGCAAAAGGCAUUUAUGUCCAAAAUAGGUGUUUUUCAAGUAAAAAUAUGAGAAAUGUUAAAUUCACAAAUUUAGAUAUUAUUUCAUCCUUUUAACUAAUUAAUUAUUUUUUCAUUUUUCCUCUUCGUUUAUUCUUUUCCUUCUUUCUUUUUUAUAUUUCCAAUCUCUACAAUUAAAUCUCUACAUUACUUAUCCAAUUUAUUUUAAUCUCAAAUCCACAUGUAUAAUUUUCUGAUUUCUCUCAAAUGAAUUUUAUUUUAUUUUAUUUAUAUUUUUAUCUUUCAUUUAUUAUUCACAAAUUAAAUUUAGAUCCUAAAUAAAUAUAUCUUACAAUUUUACUAGAUUAAUUAAAUUUCAUAUUUGCCAAUGUAAUCUUCUAUUUUUCAAAUAUUUCAACCUUACCCAAUUAUCCACCGACCAUUUAUUAUUUAAUCAUUUAAUUUAUAACCAAUAAAUUCUUAACCCUAGUAACUAAUGUACUCAACCUUAUAUAUAUAUACGCACACCCUCUCAUCCAGCCUACAUCCAAAUUGAAUAACUGGUGAAAUCAGGUCAAUACAACAAUGUCCAUCCAUUCCCAUAUCUUCACACUAUUUCUCCUUCUUCUUGCCUUACUACUAUCUGCAUCCAUACCCAUCACAGGCCAUGAAUUCUCAAUCAAAGAAGCAACUGUCCACGACUUUCGCAUGGCUUUCCAACAAAACAAACUCACCUCACGGAAGCUUGUUAGGUUCUACCUGGGUGAAAUUCACAAACUCAACCCAAUUCUUCGUGGGGUGAUAGAGGUGAACCCAGAUGCACUCCUCCAAGCAGAUAAGGCUGACAAAGAGAAGAAGGCUAAGUCACUUCGGUCGCUGGAGGGGCUGCAUGGCAUUCCUAUUCUGCUUAAGGAUAAUAUUGCAACCAAGGACAAGAUGAACACAACAGCUGGGUCAUUUGCACUGCUUAAAUCGGUGGUGCCAAGGGAUGCAGGCGUGGUGAGGAAGUUGAGGAAGGCUGGGGCUAUCAUACUGGGAAAGGCUAGCCUGAGUGAGUGGACUGGUUUGCGCUUUGUUUUUCCUUAUGGCUGGUGUGCCAGAACUGGCCAAGGUCGGGUAAGUUAGGAUCCAAAACUCGAUUUUUCUGAUGGUUUUAAGCUUACAUUUUGGUUCUCAUCCUCCCCAGAAAAGUCCAGCACACAUGAACAGAUAUAGCUGGAUGGAAAUUAUUUUCAAUUAUUUCAAUCAAAUUCUCAGAAGGGGAAAAGAUUUUCUGUCUGAGUAGAACUUGUGUCCUCCUGGGAAAUUUCUAUUGCUUUGCAUUUAUGUUUGUGUUUGGUUGUCAGGGAAAGCAGGCUAACUCUUUGAUCUCUAGCAUAUUAAAAUGUAGAAAAUGGAAUUUGUUAAUUUCCAGUUUCUCAUUCUAGUCAGAGUCAGUCCCCUCUUGAACUUUAACUCUUGAAUCUGUACUUAUUCUGCUACAUGCCAAAAAAUAUGAAAAAUUUUGGAAUCUGAACACGUGAGUCUGCACUAUGAUGCUUUAUGCCAAAAGGGAAAAAAACAAAUCGUAGACAUGUUUGCCAAAGGAGAAGGUGAAAAGGAGGUGUGGAUUGAAACCCACUUUCCAGUGAGCAUUCACACUGGUUUUUAAAUAGGUUUCAAUCGCAUAAACAGUUUUAUAACUCUGAAGUAUAUGGCUUCAAUGAUGUGCAGAACCCUUAUGUUCUGUCAGCAACUCCUUGUGGGUCAAGUAGUGGAUCAGCUAUAUCAGUAGCAGCAAAUUUAGCAGCAGUUUCAUUAGGGACGGAAACUAUGGGAUCCAUCUUAUGUCCAUCCCAUUUUAAUUCAGUAGUGGGCAUCAAACCAACAGUAGGUCUCACCAGCCGAGCUGGGGUGGUUCCAAUCUCUCCCAGGCAGGACACUGUUGGGUAGGUGAUGUUUCAUCUUCCUAAAUACAAAUUUGAAACCCCCAUCUGUUGGGCAGACUGCUCAAACAAUUUGAUGCAACAGGCCCAUCUGCAGGACAGUCUCCGACGCUGUAGAGGUACUGGAUGUCAUUGUAGGUUUUGACAAGAGGGAUAAAGCAACCAGGACAGCAUCCAAGUACAUACCAAGGGGUGGCUACAAGCAAUUUCUCAAUGCAAAUGGGCUCAAGGGGAAGAGAUUAGGAAUAGUGAGGAAUCCUCCCUAUAUGUUUGAGAAUGUCUCUGUCCAGCCUCAAGUUUUUGAGCAUCAUUUCCACACACUAAGGUAACAAACUAUCUAAGUACAGUGCUUAAUGCCCUAAUGAUUCUUACAACCUAAACUAACCUAUUGUCAUUUCAUCAUGCUACAAGGCAAGGAGGUGCGGUUUUGGUAGACCACCUGAAAAUAGCAAACAUCGAUGUUUUCUUUGGCUCCACCGGAGUAGAAGCACUAGAGGCUGAGUUAAAAAUAUCCUUGAAUGCUUACCUGAAAGAGCUGGUAGCAUCCCCAGUAAGAACUUUGGCUGAUGUGAUAGCCUUCAACAACAAAUUCUCACAUUU
rnacentral:lncRNA from 1 species